rnacentral:rRNA from 1 species
AUGCAGUCGAGCGGGGAAGGUAGCUUGCUACUGGACCUAGCGGCGGACGGGUGAGUAAUGCUUAGGAAUCUGCCUAUUGGUGGGGGACAACAUCUCGAAAGGGAUGCUAAUACCGCAUACGUCCUACGGGAGAAAGCAGGGGAUCUUCGGACCUUGCGCUAAUAGAUGAGCCUAAGUCGGAUUAGCUAGUUGGUGGGGUAAAGGCCUACCAAGGCGACGAUCUGUAGCGGGUCUGAGAGGAUGAUCCGCCACACUGGGACUGAGACACGGCCCAGACUCCUACGGGAGGCAGCAGUGGGGAAUAUUGGACAAUGGGCGCAAGCCUGAUCCAGCCAUGCCGCGUGUGUGAAGAAGGCCUUAUGGUUGUAAAGCACUUUAAGCGAGGAGGAGGCUACUUUAGAUAAUACCUAGAGAUAGUGGACGUUACUCGCAGAAUAAGCACCGGCUAACUCUGUGCCAGCAGCCGCGGUAAUACAGAGGGUGCAAGCGUUAAUCGGAUUUACUGGGCGUAAAGCGCGCGUAGGCGGCUAAUUAAGUCAAAUGUGAAAUCCCCGAGCUUAACUUGGGAAUUGCAUUCGAUACUGGUUAGCUAGAGUGUGGGAGAGGAUGGUAGAAUUCCAGGUGUAGCGGUGAAAUGCGUAGAGAUCUGGAGGAAUACCGAUGGCGAAGGCAGCCAUCUGGCCUAACACUGACGCUGAGGUGCGAAAGCAUGGGGAGCAAACAGGAUUAGAUACCCUGGUAGUCCAUGCCGUAAACGAUGUCUACUAGCCGUUGGGGCCUUUGAGGCUUUAGUGGCGCAG